GGCUGGAAGGCGAGGGGGCGGGGCCGGAGGGGCGGGGCGGAGGCUGCGGGGCGGAGCCAGAGGCGGCCGGGGCGGCGGGAGCGGCGGGCACUCGUCCCCGCCUGGCGCCGCCAGCAGGACCGGCCGGCCUUCUGCGCUCCGGUCCGGUCCCUUCCCGUCCCGUCCCGUCCCGUCCCGUCCCGUCCCGUCCCGUCCCGGCCAUGCCGCCGGUCCCGGGCUCCGGGGGUCCGCCGCCCCGACCCCCCGCCCGGCCCCCGGCCCGCCCGCGCCCGCGGCUGCGGCUCCGGCCCCGCGGGGCGAGGAAGCGCCUGCUGCUGGCCCAGCUCUGCCUGCUGGGAGCCCUGCUCGCCCCGCUCGGGCCCCUCGGACGCUCCUCCGGACGCGCCCCCCCCCCACGGCUUUGACAUCCUGAGCUCCCCGGACACCUUCGAUAAAUGGGAUGGGAGGAGGUUGCUGGAGGCGGUCGAUCGGAACACUACUGAGAUUCCAGUCGACGCGGGCCACCUGCCCCGGAAGAACUGCACCGAACCAGAUCUGGGAAAACAGAGACGCAAUCCUGCCUUAGUUGUCCAAGGCCACACACCGAUGGAUCUCCUUCCCAUUUCAGUGUUAUGGGGAACUGGCCACAUGGCCUCCAAAGUACUUGCUGAUCACUUAUUAAUUGAGACUCUGCCUCUCCAUCUCUGAUUUCCCUGGCUUGGGGAGACAUCUUCCUUCCCAGCGGAAUUCCCCCCUGCUAGGAAAUGGCGUGUUCCAGACUAGAGUGAGGAGAAUUUUCCAGGUGAUGGGGAACGCCGCAGAAAUCGUUCUCCAAGCCCCCAGCCCCCCGGGCGCUACUCCCAUCGAUGCAGAUUUUGUUUUUCUUGUACUAAACCUGACGUGUUCAAUUUCUCUGGCAGCGAGCUGCUAAAUGUGGUCAUCAUUGGGAAAUAAAAAGGAUAUUUAUAUUCAAAUCCAUAGAUGCUUUAAAUUAGCCAAGGCUGAGGUUAUAAAUCCCAACAGCUUUUCUUUUUUUUCUUUUGUUUUUCUGCAGAACAAUCGUAAAAAUCCAUUUCCUUUUCCAUUUUGACAAAACACAUCUUUGGCCCUGUCUGGCUUGAAGGCUCACCAGCUUCGUUUCUUUAUAAAUUAUUACACGCCCAGCCAAGAACGGCAAAAAUGUGAUUCUGACCAACGGGGAUAUUGUGUGGCGUUUGUUUCCAUCCUCAGGAGAAACCUGAUGCUCGAGCUGGAC
rnacentral:lncRNA from 1 species